GCUGUAUUUAUUCAAUGCUCUCGUUCCUCUCUGUGAGAGCCACAUACCCUAGUUGCUUAUAGUCAGCCAUCUUGGCCACUGAGGGACAAGUUUCUAGAAUUUUUUGAAACACAUUCUGAAACACACACACACUUCUGCUUGCUACAUUGAUGAUUUGGGUAUCAGUUUUUCUGUUUGGUUGAAUAUGGUGCUUUUUUAUGAUACGGAUUUCCCCAAAUGCUUGCUUUUUCUUGACUGACUAUUGGAUGUUUUGACCUAAUCCUCAUUAUUCCUUUACAGCACAAUGCGGCAGUUCAUUUCACAGCUGAGGAAACCAGGAACCAGAGAGAGACUUUGGAUAAAUAUGAUGCCAAAUGCAGCUGCUCUUGGAACUCACGACUUCCCAUACCUCAGGAGACACAGAUGGUGAGUUUGAGUCUUCUGAGAGAACUAACAACUUCAGAGCCUUGAAAUGUGCAUCUACCACACAAAACUAUCUGCUCAGCUUAUUGGCUCAGUAUGUGCCUGGAACAUGAAGGAUGACAAGGAGAUGGAAUUCUGGCUCAGCAGUUUCAGACCCAGCCCCCAACUCACUCAGCCAUCCCCCCUCCUCCUCUCUUGCUUUUCUCUUCUCUCUUCCCCCGCUCUCCCGCCUCCUGCUGCAGAUCUCUUUCUGCUGCCUGGCAACCGCACCACAGGCAAUGUCACACAGGAUUGCUUAUUACAGCUUCAG
rnacentral:lncRNA from 10 species